rnacentral:rRNA from 1 species
GAUGAACGCUAGCUACAGGCUUAACACAUGAAAGUCGAGGGGUAACAAGAGAAAAGCUUGCUUUUUUUGUUGACGACCGGCGCACGGGUGAGUAACGCGUAUCCAACCUGCCUAUAACUAGGGAAUAACCUUGCGAAAGUAAGACUAAUACCCUAUGAUUUCCUUUGAUAGCAUCAGAUUAGGAAUAAAGAUUUAUCGGUUAUAGAUGGGGAUGCGUCUGAUUAGCUUGUUGGCGUGGUAACGGCCCACCAAGGCAACGAUCAGUAGGGGUUCUGAGAGGACGGUCCCCCACAUUGGAACUGAGACACGGUCCAAACUCCUACGUGAGGCAGCAGUGAGGAAUAUUGGUCAAUGGGCGGAAGCCUGAACCAGCCAAGUAGCGUGCAGGAUGACGGCCCUAUGGGUUGUAAACUGCUUUUAUACAGGAAUAAAGUUAGCCACGUGUGGUUAUUUGUAGGUACUGUAUGAAUAAGGACCGGCUAAUUCCGUGCCAGCCGCCGCUGUAA